rnacentral:rRNA from 1 species
GGGGGGGGGGGGGGGGGGGGGGGGGGGGGGGGGGGGGAGGGGGGGGGGGGGGAGCGGGCGGGUCGGGCGGGGGCGGCGGGCGGGUGAGUAAGGCGGGGAGAACCUACCUAUGGGAGUGGGAUAGCUUCGGGAAGCCGGAGGGAGUACCGGAGAAUAUAUUGAACCGCGUGGGUCAAUAGUGAAAGAAGGUUUUGCGGUCACUUCUAGGUGGAUCCGCUCCGCAUUAGCUAGUUGGUAAGGUAACGGCUUACCAAGGCAACGAUGCGUAGCCGAGCUGAGAGGGUGAUCGGCCACACUGGAACUGAGACACGGUCCAGACUCCUACGGGAGGCAGCAGUAGGGAAUCUUCCGCAAUGGGCGAAAGCUUGACGGAGCAACGCCGCGUGAGUGAUGAAGGUCUUCGGAUCGUAAAACUCUGUUAUUAGGGAAGAACAAAUGUGUAAGUAACUAUGCACGUCUUGACGGUACCUAAUCAGAAAGCCACGGCCAACUACGUG